rnacentral:rRNA from 1 species
GAUGAACGCUGGCGGCGUGCCUAAUACAUGCAAGUCGAGCGAACAGACGAGGAGCUUGCUCCUCUGACGUUAGCGGCGGACGGGUGAGUAACACGUGGAUAACCUACCUAUAAGACUGGGAUAACUUCGGGAAACCGGAGCUAAUACCGGAUAAUAUAUUGAACCGCAUGGUUCAAUAGUGAAAGACGGUUUUGCUGUCACUUAUAGAUGGAUCCGCGCCGCAUUAGCUAGUUGGUAAGGUAACGGCUUACCAAGGCGACGAUGCGUAGCCGAACUGAGAGGGUGAUCGGCCACACUGGAACUGAGACACGGUCCAGACUCCUGCGGGAGGCAGCAGUAGGGAAUCUUCCGCAAUGGGCGAAAGCAUGACGGAGCAACGCCGCGUGAGUGAUGAAGGUCUUCGGAUCGUAAAACUCUGUUAUUAGGGAAGAACAAAUGUGUAAGUAACUAUGCACGUCUUGACGGUACCUAAUCAGAAAGCCACGGCUAACUACGUG